UAGCUGGGGAAGGAUGACCUCCAUACUUAAUGAUUCAUCUGGCGGAGCAUCCAUGGGGGCAUCAACGCAUUGGGGGAUGGCCGAGCAUGAGCGUCGUCAUCAUCGUCUCCUCUUGCCUGCAGGUGUGUGCGCAUUUUGUAAAGAAGUUCACCCCUCCUUUCAUUGUUUCCUUAUUUGGAAUUGAUGAAAUUUUCUUUCUGCUGUUAAAAAAAAGAUGUGGUGUUCAGAGAGAGAGAGAGAGAGAGAGAGAGAGCAUACCCAAUUGUUAGAGAAUGUAAUGUUGGAGGCGGAGGAGGUAGCGGUGGUUGGGGCAACGUUAAGGCAGAUGAAUUUUGAGUUUGUUGUUCCCAUUGCGCUUGCUCAGCCAUUGCCUUCUCACUUUCCUUGAGCUGUUUCCAAUAUCACAAGACAUAAAUUGACAUUUCAUUCGUUCAUUCAUUGUAGUCUCUUUUGAUCAUCAAAGACAUUAUUCAAGUUUGAAACACAGUGCAGUGACUUCAAAUAAUGAAAGCGCUCUCUUUACCUUGUUUGCUAAAACAUGUUUUUCCUCUCCCUUGCGCUCAGUGGACCAUGUGCUAAUGUUUUGUCCAUUGGUGUGGAGGCUCUGGUCACAAAUGGUCAGUUGGUGGGAUCAAUCCUCGGUAAUUACUGGAUCAAUAGAGGACCUUCUUCUUUGGUGGUCAGGUGGCAAAUUGAAGAGCUGGGUUUUCAAAAUGUGGAAGAUAGCUCCUUUAGUCAUGCUGUGGUCAGUUUGGAAGAUGAGAAAUGAGUGUCUCUUCAAGGUGGCCCAAACCAAUUUUGAAGUUUUAUGUGCAAAGGUGAAGGUGCAGAUUGCUUUUUGGACUAAAGUGAAUAUGGAGGUAGAUUAUUCAAUUCAUGAUAUUGUUUCUAAUCUCCAUCAGAUAAGAUUUUCUUCUUGAGGAUCCAGGCUGGUGUUUGGAAGUGGUUGGGGCUCUCCAAAUUGGUGUGAUAGGAAGGGCUCCAUGCAUAUCGGUUUCUCAUUUGGCUUGUAUCAGCAACGCCUCUUGUUUCUAUUUUGGCUUUGGUUUCUCACCAAACCCCCCAGGAUAGUGCUAGCAAAUGAUUGAGUUCCUUUCUCGGUGUCAACCUGAUUGGGAUUGAGUUGGUAUUUUGUGAUGCUUUUCGCACUUCCUUCUUUUAUUGAUGUAUCUCCAUAUGUUUAAUCCAUCAAUAAAAUUUUCUUUCGGCUGAUCAAAAAAAAAAAAAAUAAAAAAAA